GGUUAAGUUAAUAAGGGCGCACGGUGGAUGCCUUGGCACUAGGAGCCGAAGAAGGACGUGACAAACGACGAUAUGCCUUGGGUAGCUGUAAGUAAGCGAUGAUCCAGGGAUUUCCGAAUGGGGGAACCCAACAGGUACUACCUGUUACCUGCAUCUGUUAAGGAUGUGAGGAGGAAGACGCAGUGAACUGAAACAUCUAAGUAGCUGCAGGAAGAGAAAGCAAAAGCGAUUGCCUUAGUAGCGGCGAGCGAAACGGCAGGAGGGCAAACCGAAGAGUUUACUCUUCGGGGUUGUAGGACUGCAAUGUGGACUCAAAGAUUAUAGAAGAAUGAUUUGGGAAGAUCAGCCAAAGAGAGUAAUAGCCUCGUAUUUAAAAUAGUCUUUGUACCUAGCAGUAUCCUGAGUACGGCGGGACACGUGAAAUCCCGUCGGAAUCUGGGAGGACCAUCUCCCAACCCUAAAUACUCCCUAGUGACCGAUAGUGAACCAGUACCGUGAGGGAAAGGUGAAAAGCACCCCGGGAGGGGAGUGAAAUAGAACCUGAAACCGUGUGCCUACAACAAGUUCGAGCCCGUUAAUGGGUGAGAGCGUGCCUUUUGUAGAAUGAACCGGCGAGUUACGUUAUGAUGCGAGGUUAAGUUGAAGAGACGGAGCCGUAGGGAAACCGAGUCUGAAUAGGGCGCCUUAGUAUCAUGACGUAGACCCGAAACCAUGUGACCUACCCAUGAGCAGGUUGAAGGUGCGGUAAGACGCACUGGAGGACCGAACCAGGGCACGUUGAAAAGUGCUUGGAUGACUUGUGGGUAGCGGAGAAAUUCCAAACGAACUUGGAGAUAGCUGGUUCUCUCCGAAAUAGCUUUAGGGCUAGCGUCGACAUUAGAGAUUCUUGGAGGUAGAGCACUGUUUGGGUGAGGGGUCCAUCCCGGAUUACCAAUCUCAGAUAAACUCCGAAUGCCAAUGAAUUAUGGUCGGCAGUCAGACUGCGAGUGCUAAGAUCCGUAGUCGAAAGGGAAACAGCCCAGACCACCAGCUAAGGUCCCAAAAUAAUUGUUAAGUGGAAAAGGAUGUGGGGUUGCACAGACAACUAGGAUGUUAGCUUAGAAGCAGCUAUUCAUUCAAAGAGUGCGUAAUAGCUCACUAGUCGAGUGACCCUGCGCCGAAAAUGUACCGGGGCUAAAACAAUUUACCGAAGCUGUGGAUACCUUUAUAGGUAUGGUAGGAGAGCGUUCUAUGUGUGAUGAAGGUAUACCGUGAGGAGUGCUGGAACGCAUAGAAGUGAGAAUGCCGGUAUGAGUAGCGAAAGACAGGUGAGAAUCCUGUCCACCGUAAGACUAAGGUUUCCAGGGGAAGGCUCGUCCGCCCUGGGUUAGUCGGGACCUAAGGAGAGACCGAAAGGUGUAUCCGAUGGACAACAGGUUGAUAUUCCUGUACUAGAGUAUGUAGUGAUGGAGGGACGCAGUAGGCUAACUAAAGCAGACGAUUGGAAGUGUCUGUCUAAGCAGUGAGGUGUGAUAUGAGUCAAAUGCUUAUAUCUAUAACAUUGAGCUGUGAUGGGGAGCGAAGUUUAGUAGCGAAGUUAGUGACGUCACACUGCCAAGAAAAGCUUCUAGCGUUUAAACAUACUCUACCCGUACCGCAAACCGACACAGGUAGUCGAGGCGAGUAGCCUCAGGUGAGCGAGAGAACUCUCGUUAAGGAACUCGGCAAAAUGACCCCGUAACUUCGGGAGAAGGGGUGCUGACUUUACGUCAGCCGCAGUGAAUAGGCCCAAGCAACUGUUUAUCAAAAACACAGCUCUCUGCUAAAUCGUAAGAUGAUGUAUAGGGGGUGACGCCUGCCCGGUGCUGGAAGGUUAAGAGGAGUGCUUAGCGUAAGCGAAGGUAUGAAUUGAAGCCCCAGUAAACGGCGGCCGUAACUAUAACGGUCCUAAGGUAGCGAAAUUCCUUGUCGGGUAAGUUCCGACCCGCACGAAAGGCGUAAUGAUUUGGGCACUGUCUCAACGAGAGACUCGGUGAAAUUUUAGUACCUGUGAAGAUGCAGGUUACCCGCGACAGGACGGAAAGACCCCAUGGAGCUUUAC
rnacentral:rRNA from 1 species